ensembl:lncRNA
CAAAGGCAAGCUUUACUAGGGCAUGGGGGAAGAAAAGUAAGGAAGGAUUGCAUGAGAUGGAGAGUGUGCAAAGUGUGCUCCUGCACACCAUGGAACAGGUCCUUUAGGUUGGACUCAGCUCCACCAAGGGACAAAGGAGGAAGCAGAAGCAUACAUCACUACUUUCCCUGGGAGGUAUAAUCUGGAACAGAAUAUGUGCUAAUUAAAUGCUAAUAGUUCUAAAUAAAAGAUGUGGUAAUUUUUCUGAAAUAAUUAGGACUAGCCACCAGCACAGCACCAAGGGUGUGAUCAUUACCCCAUGCCGCCCUCCAUUCCACAUGGAGAAAAUCUCAUUUUCCCAAGGAAAUGGAAAACCAUAUCAAGCCUUCCGAGCUCUUUUUGGAGUAACAGUCACUACACUGUACUUGUUUGUAGAAAACAAGGAACUUAAGAAUGGUAAAAAAUGAAUAUUUUGGAGCACCUUUUAGAAAGCAAUGUGGGAAAUACUCCCAGCAAAGCUGCUAUGUCUCACUGAAAACAGCAACAUGGUACCGGCAUGCUACUAACAAUUUUCUCUUCAAAACUGUUAACACCAUGGUCAAGAUGUGUUCAAAUUCGUCUCUUCAAUUAUCUGGCAUUUUUUAAAAUGUUUCAGGUGGGAAGAUUGAAAUUCUGCACUGGAAGAUUUCAUGGCUCAUUGGUAAUUUUUGGACAAAUACUAGUCAUAGGAAUCUUUUGACUAUUACGUAAUAAAAAAAUUCUGAUGUAAAGUACAACAAAUGUCCAUAACAUAGCACCACUGUGCUCCAUUUGGAUGGAUUUUCCUGAGAAAUUCCAUAAUGUCCUUUUAGCCACUUUUGAGGGCAGAAGACUAAAAUUUAAAGAGGAUUUGGAGUUGCAACUCUGGAACAUAAAAACAGGUAAUAGAUGAAACACUGUGCUUGGUCAUUCACAUGUGUCAAACAGUGUAUAUGGUACAUGAGAGCUGUCAUACCCAGAUAACAUAUUAAUUCUGUUAAUUUUGCAGUUUUCCAGAGAACUAUUUUAAGAAGAGUUUUACAGUUUUGAAAAAUGUUGUCAUCUAAAGAUUGUUUAAAUAGCACUGAAGAGUGAGAAGAUAAUAGUUUUCAUCUUUGAUUUGCUUGUUGAGUCAGCAACAUUUGUUGCAUUCAUCCAAAGAUAAACAAUAGAGGUGAGGAGCAGAUAAAGAUCGCACGAAGUCAGCUACCUCUGAAUAUCAAAAAGUCUCAAUAGAAAAAACAGCAUAAGCUUCAUAGAAACUAAACUAAGAAAACCAGAAAGAUUUCACAUCUAGUAUUCAUCCAGAUGCUCAGGCAAUUCCCUUCACUGCAAGUUCUCCCUAGCACUGCCCCCUUCAAACAUUAAUGGACCCAUCUUCACUAACCCCUUUCAAGGCAGGAGAAAAUAGAAUAUACCAAGUUGGAAGGGACCCAUGAGGAUUGUCUAGCCCAGUUCUCAGCUCCACACAGCACAACUCAAAAUCCAAACCCUAUGUCUGAAAGUAUCAUCCAUACACUCCUUGAACUCCAGUACUUUGGCCUUGCCCACUGCUCCGGGCAGCCUGUUCCACACUCACAGACUUCUGCUGAGAAACCUUUACCUAACACCCAACCUGGCACCCUCCUGAUUCAGUUUCAUGCCAUUCCCUCAGGUCCUAUCACUUUCAUCAGAGAGCACUAUCAGUGCCUGCUGCUCAAUAUUUGACUAUAGUAAAUGUAGCAGAGACAGAAACUGAACCCAGACCUUUCAAAUCUCAGAGUACCAUCCUCAGAGCAAACAGGUCCAGUUUGAUUUUCCAGGAAAUUUAUUAAGCAUUGUACCUUUGGUAACAUUGUAGUGCUCCUGCUGUAAUUCACUGCCUCAAAGGCAUGACUGUGUCAUGCUUCAGUGUAGUAAUCUCAUUCUGAG